rnacentral:lncRNA from 1 species
AUGAAAUUUAUUCCCAAUUUGAAGUGGCAGUGUAUACAAAGGUAACAGAGCUUGUGAUAAUUUACAGAAAUAUUUGCUACAGCAUGCACAUUAUGACGUGUUUCAAACAUAUACAUAUUAAAUUCAUGCUGAAUAAAUAAUCCCCCCUAGCUGCAUUUUUUUUUAAACAAAGCAAAUCACUUCAACGUGAAUAGGAGUAAUUUCAUCUCUGCACCUAAUUGGACCUCAGAAUUAAUAGCUGGUCUGUGCAAACCAUGAUCUGAAUGUAGCCGUGGAGUGUUCUUACCUAUGAAUGCAACGGAAGGUUACCAGCACACGUGGCCACUUGCUUCCUCUCGUGUUUAUCUUGACAGCAGAGACUUUGGAAUUGUAUAU